rnacentral:tRNA from 2 species
CCUUCGAUAGCUCAGUUGGUAGAGCGGUGGACUGUAGUCGUUUGUUGUAGAAAUCCAUAGGUCGCUGGUUCGAAUCCGGCUCGAAGGA